rnacentral:rRNA from 2 species
CGGGGGGGCCUAUUACAUGCAGUCGAGCGAACUGAUUAGAAGCUUGCUUCUAUGACGUUAGCGGCGGACGGGUGAGUAACACGUGGGCAACCUGCCUGUAAGACUGGGAUAACUUCGGGAAACCGAAGCUAAUACCGGAUAGGAUCUUCUCCUUCAUGGGAGAUGAUUGAAAGAUGGUUUCGGCUAUCACUUACAGAUGGGCCCGCGGUGCAUUAGCUAGUUGGUGAGGUAACGGCUCACCAAGGCAACGAUGCAUAGCCGACCUGAGAGGGUGAUCGGCCACACUGGGACUGAGACACGGCCCAGACUCCUACGGGAGGCAGCAGUAGGGAAUCUUCCGCAAUGGACGAAAGUCUGACGGAGCAACGCCGCGUGAGUGAUGAAGGCUUUCGGGUCGUAAAACUCUGUUGUUAGGGAAGAACAAGUACAAGAGUAACUGCUUGUACCUUGACGGUACCUAACCAGAAAGCCACGGCUAACUACGUGCCAGCAGCCGCGGUAAUACGUAGGUGGCAAGCGUUAUCCGGAAUUAUUGGGCGUAAAGCGCGCGCAGGCGGUUUCUUAAGUCUGAUGUGAAAGCCCACGGCUCAACCGUGGAGGGUCAUUGGAAACUGGGGAACUUGAGUGCAGAAGAGAAAAGCGGAAUUCCACGUGUAGCGGUGAAAUGCGUAGAGAUGUGGAGGAACACCAGUGGCGAAGGCGGCUUUUUGGUCUGUAACUGACGCUG